CAGUAGCCGCGGGAAUACGGAGGGGGCUAGCGUUGUUCGGAAUUGCUGGGCGUAAAGCGCACGUAGGCGGCUUGGUAAGUUAGAGGUGAAAGCCUGGAGCCCAACUCCAGAAUUGCCUUUAAGACUGCCGAGCUAGCAGGUGAGAGAGGUAAGUGGAAUUCCGAGUGUAGAGGUGAAAUUCGUAGAUAUUCGGAAGAACACCAGUGGCGAAGGCGGCUUACUGGCUCAUACUGGACGCUGAGGUGCGAAAGCGUGGGGAGCAAACAGGAUUAGAUACCCCUGUAGUCCCUGUCUCUUAUAC
rnacentral:rRNA from 1 species